GGUGGCUCAGUGGUAGAGUGCUUGCCUUGCAUGCAUAAGGCCUGGGAUUCGAUUCCUCAGCACCA
rnacentral:tRNA from 1 species